rnacentral:misc_RNA from 1 species
CUUCCUCAAUUCGAUUUCCUCUUCGCCUACAAUGAGUCGCAAGAGAGAUAAACCAUACUUCUCUCGCCACGACCGUGCUCCCUACCCGAAACGGCGUCGCCCUCUGCCUCCUCGACAGUCCGCCGAAGAGAGUGACGACAAGCCAGCCGUGAAGCCGCCUCCGCCACCUGCUGUGGUGGUUAUGGGUCUGCUACCGAAUUCCUCUGUUCUUGAUCUGAAGUCGAGGUUCGAGAUCUACGGUUCAAUCUCCCGUAUCCGCAUCGACCGUGAUGGCGUCGGGUACGUCACGUACCGGUCCAAAGACUCUGCCGAAGCUGCCAUUGCUGCUGCCCUUGACGCCUCCUUUGGCAUCACUAUUGAUUCGAAAAGAGUGCAGGUGUUAUGGGCAACGGAUCCUCUUGCGCAGUGGAGGGAAGGAGUUGGGGUUGGAGGUAACAAGGAAAAUGGGUCAUCCUCCAAACUUUUGCGGCCUGAGAGACCCUUAAGCAGACACGGCAGAGGUAAUAAGCUCGCUUCUGCUAUAGUAAAUCCGAGAAGUAGUGGUGAUACUUCUGCUGUGCCAGAUGUGCCGUCCAAAGGCAGGGAGAUAGUUGCUUAUGAUGAUAUUCUCUAACGUUUGUUUUUCUCCUUAAGGGAGGGGGAGGGGCAUCGCUUUUGUACGCGUAGUUUGUGCUUCUUUUUGUUUAUGCAUAGGAUUGCACGCAAGGCUGGCAACUUUGAAAAUUU